rnacentral:rRNA from 1 species
AANGNACGCUGGCGGCGUGCUUAACACAUGCAAGUCGUACGAGAACUCUUCUGCUUGCAGAAGAUAGUAAAGUGGCGCACGGGUGAGUAACGCGUGGGUAAUCUACCUCCGAAUCUGGGAUAACCCGCCGAAAGGCGAGCUAAUACCGGAUAAUAUCUUUAAACUUCGGUUUUUAAGAUCAAAGGUGGUCUCUACAUGUAAGCUACUGUUUGGAGAUGAGCCCGCGUACCAUUAGCUUGUUGGUAGGGUAAUGGCCUACCAAGGCCGCGAUGGUUAGCUGGUCUGAGAGGAUGAUCAGCCACACUGGAACUGACACACGGUCCAGACUCCUACGGGAGGCAGCAGUGAGGAAUUUUGCGCAAUGGGGGAAACCCUGACGCAGCAACGCCGCGUGAGUGAUGAAGGCUUUCGGGUCGUAAAGCUCUGUCAAGUGGGAAGAAACUGCUAGAUGUUAAUAUCAUUUAGCACUGACGGUACCACUAAAGGAAGCACCGGCUAACUCCGUGCCAGCAGCCGCGGUAAUACGGGGGGUGCAAGCGUUAUUCGGAAUUAUUGGGCGUAAAGGGCGCGUAGGCGGUCUCUAAAGUCAGAUGUGAAAGCCCGGGGCUUAACCCCGGAAGUGCAUUUGAAACUUAGGGACUUGAGUAUGGGAGAGGG